GGGGCUGAGCAAGAAUUUCUACUUGAACACCUCUUCUUACACCACACAAAGUGGUCUCAUAUGCACUGGCAUAUUUUUAUAACAUGGAUGGCAGAAGGCAGCAGCCCCAUCCCAGGCAGCACCAGCCCUGCUACGUCAUGGCCACAUCACCAAAGGCAGCCACCAGGUCCAGGAAUCACCCUGUAGCAGUCCAAGCCAGGUCACAAGAGCUCAACAAUAUUACUGGCUGUGUUCCAGAAUGAACUUGAUGUCAUGGCAACCUGGAACACAGAUCAGAAGGGGAGUGUCAACAAGAGACAACUAACCAGCCACACACAGGGAGAGAGACACAGCAUAACAGGGAAAGAGCAGGAUAUCGAGACACUCCUGUCCUCGACAGCAUUCAUCUCUUGACAAGAGGGCCGCACACUGCAGGACAGGCAUUGCCCUGGUUUGCUGAGCCCUGGUCCCAACGAAGGAGCUGAAAAGGAACCUAAUGAGUGCCAUGAAAAAACACAGACACAGAAAUGGAUGGCAUAACAGCUACCUGGUGAGCACAGUAACACAGGGGAGGGAAGCACAGGGAAGCAGGGCAUGUGGCUGUGCCUUUAUUCCUUCCCAUCUGACUUGUAGAUGGGCAUCUACAUAAAGAUGGAACCAGAGAAGGACACAAGCCAAUACUCCACAAUCUAACUGGUCUCCUGGCUGCAAUACAGAAGAGAUGUCAGACACAUACACUAUCCCUUCUUGAUCCAGUGAUCUGCUUUAAAAUCCCUAAGACCCUCUGCCCUCACCCAAUAUUUUAUACCACCACAGUGAGCUCUGGCCCCAGGGCCGUCACUGGCAGAUGACCUAAUAAAUGCAGUCACACUUGGAAUAUUCAGAAGAGAAAAUGCCUGGCAAAACAGAAAGCCGAUGAGAAUGGUCACACAGGGCAGGGGAGCACAGGGAAGCAGGGCACAGGUAAUGACUUCACAUGAGCAGCCCAGUGAGCAGGGCCAUGCUAGGGAGGGAUGCACAGGGAAGCAGGGAAUGUGGCUGCUCUGUUAUUCCUUCCCAUCAGACUUGCAAUUGGGCAUUUAUAAAAGAUGGAGAUAGAGGAGGACAUGUGCCUAUCCUCAGCCCCCUAA